CCCCCCAUCAAACAGAAAGUAUAUGUUGGAAAGUUUGAUAGGUGACAUAUUAUCUUUUGCAUACAUCAGAUCGAGAUCACGUUUGAAUUACCAAAAUAGGAUUUCAACAGUUUUCACAUCCCUCUAGUGAUAACUUAUAUGAGUAAUAUGACAACACUCUACUACAACUGAUCCGUCUAGAAAGCCAACGUUCAUCUUGUCUUGCUGUUUCAUCAAACGUCAUUCCAUUUCAAAAGUUCUUUACUUGAUUCAACAAUUAAUUAAUAUAGUAUUUCCAUGGUGAUCAUAAUUUUCAAAAAACGUAGUUGAAAUAAUCUAUUAGGAGCGACAUACCCUAAUAAGUAACACAAUACGUAUCAUAUUUUAUACACGAUUGUUAAAGUCCUCAAUUUAAGCAGUUCGAAAUUUUUUUGGAUCAAAAACUUCAUGAAUGCAAUUCCAAAUAUAUUAUCAAUGGAUCAUUAAACAGAAAAAAUGCAAAUUUCUUAGACUGAACCUUACAGUGUUGUAUGUAGCAAAAGUAUUUGCCACAAGAGCAUAAACCACUUGUUUAUCGAAAAAUUACAAGUCUAAUUUGAUAAGUUUUAUAUAGAGAAACUCAUUCAUUUUCUUUAUAAAUGUCAGGAAGAUGUCAGUCAGUUACUUUGAAUAAAAAAAUGUUACUCAAUUUCUAACCAAAAACUUUAAAAUCUUCGAUUUUCAAAAUAAACAAAAAUAUUUUUUUGUUCUAAGAGAUAGAUAAUAAUUAGGUGAUGUUUUUAGGUUUGGUAUUGUUCUUUGAGAAAAUGAGAUGUGGAAAUAACAAUUGUAUCUACCUCGCUCGUGAAAUAGGAAAUUAAUACAAAUAAACUUAUUUAAUUUCUUUCAUUUAAAAAUAUCAACAAAUUAUGACCCCCCUCCCCCUUUAACCUAAUAGAGUUAAAUAUGAAGAGUAUACAACUGAAUAAACAAAUAAAUAAACUUUAUUAUGUGAUUAAUAUUAAACAGCAAAAAUAAAAUUUUCAAAAAAA
rnacentral:lncRNA from 1 species